AAGUCGUAACAAGGUUUCCGUAGGUGAACCUGCGGAAGGAUCAUUAACACGUAUCCAACGUUAAACCCCCCCGUGAACCUUCAGUGCUCGCACUUUCUUAGAAAAGGUAGCAAUCCCUGGUAAAUCAUUGCCGAACAGUUUUGAUUCAGGGACUUCUGCGUAGACUGUGCUUGAGCGUGAGGCAAGUGGUGUCUGAAAGUGUCACCAGCUCUGUACGAAUGGCGCAGUCACGAUCGCUAGAGGCCGACACGGCCGGCGACCGGGUCACUGGGCGCGAGCCCCCCUCGUCACCUUUGCAUGAAAACGGGCCUGCGCUUAAACUCGAACAACUGUUAACAAUGGAUAUCUUGGUUCUC
rnacentral:misc_RNA from 1 species